rnacentral:rRNA from 1 species
AUUGAACGCUGGCGGCAUGCUUUACACAUGCAAGUCGAACGGUAACAGGCCGCAAGGUGCUGACGAGUGGCGAACGGUUGAGUAAUGCAUCGGAACGUGCCCAGUCGUGGGGGAUAACGCAGCGAAAGCUGUGCUAAUACCGCAUACGAUCUAUGGAUGAAAGCGGGGGACCGUAAGGCCUCACGCGAUUGGAGCGGCCGAUGGCAGAUUAGGUAGGUGGUGGGGUAAAGGCCCACCAAGCCAACGAUCUUUAGCUGGUAUGAGAGGACGACCAGCCACACUGGGACUGAGACACGGCCCAGACUCCUACGGGAGGCAGCAGUGGGGAAUUUUGGACAAUGGGCGCAAGCCUGAUCCAGCAAUGCCGCAUGCAGGAAGAAGGCCUUCGGGUUGUAAACUGCUUUUGUACGGAACGAAACGGUCUGGGUUAAUACCCUGGGCUAAUGACGGUACCGUAAGAAUAAGCACCGGCUAACUACGUGCCAGCCGCCGCGGUAA